GUAUUUCAGAGAGAAGCUCUAAAGCUGCAGAGGAUGAGACCAACGGGCCUGGAAAACACUUCAGAGACAUAUAAAGGCAAGAAAAAGCACUGCUCUGCAAAAAACUAAUGAUGUCUUUCAAGUUUUCAGCCUUCUCCUUGGAUGAGGAUGUAUUCUUUAUUUAACCGUUGAACCGGCUGAUCCCUGUGAUCCCACCUGAGGCCACCUGGUGGCGUCUAGUCAUCAGCUGAAUGAGAAUAUAGGUUGCUCAGGCCUCCUGUGUAACAUUUCUAACAGAAAACAAAGCAGGUCACACAGUGCAAGAACAGC